UACGGAGGGAGCGAGCGUUGUUCGGAAUCAUUGGGCGUAAAGGGCAUGUAGGCGGCUUUGCAAGUCGGAUGUGAAAUCCCAUUACUCAAAGAUGGAACGGCAUUCGUAACUGCAAGGCUUGAGUGCAGGGGAAGAGAGCGGAAUUCUCGGUGUAGCGGUGAAAUGCGUAGAUAUCGAGAAGAACACCAGCGGCGUAAGCGGCUCUCUAUCCUGACACUGACGCUGAGAUGCGAAAGCCAGGGGAGCGAACGGG
rnacentral:rRNA from 1 species